UCGACUAGGUGACGACUUGGCAUCUCAUCCACGCCCCGAAGAGGAAGGAGCUGAAUAAUAAUAAGAGAGACAAAAAAUUAUUCUGGCUGCUCUUGAAUAAGUAGCGAUGGAGGUGGCGUGGGAGAAAUGCAUUAGAAGUCAUAAAGCUGUCACGCCACGAUGAUUGAUAGGCCUCGGGCUGUUCUCUCACUGCAGAUAACUGUUGUCUCAUCUCAACGCGAUCCAUUAUCUCCCCGAUGUGAUGACAGGCAGAGUGAGACAGAAGAGAGAGCUGACGGAUGAUGUACAGAGGAAGCGGGCCGAGUGUUUCACAACAACCGCUUCCUUCCUGGAUGGAGGUCGGAGUGGCGGAGAGGGGACGAGAGAAGAGGAAAGGUCACAGAUCGACAAAGAGGCCGUUCAGGAGAGUUCGUCGGCUCCUCCCUUCAAAUUGCGAGCGGCGGAGGAGAGUAAAUAAACCGCCUGCCGCCCGCCGACCCGCCGACCCCCCGAUCAAUACUCUCUCUUUGGACCGCUCGCCGUGGAGUGUUGACACUCGGAGGGCCUGGAACACUGGCCCAUAAACGUGUGAGGACACACUGUACCACGAUCACAACACACAGGAAUGUGCAGCAUGUUUAAAUGUCUGCCUCAUUGGCAAGCCUGAUGCGGAAUGCCACAGAAUGACUGCUUGGCACAACAACAAUGGAGUCAUGCAAAUGAGAUGGCAGAGCCCGGCCGUGUCUGUUCAUGUCGGAGGAGUUGGGAGCUGUGGUUACAAUCAGAAAUAAUACGUGGGAUUUACUCAAGUGUGUGGCCUGUUCUGCAACGCAGACCUGCAGGGAAGCAGAUCUCACCCUCGUGGAGACACUUUUCUUUGAAAUGGACUGAGAGAUGUCUGCGUUGCUUCUCACUGUAAUUACGAAGCCCGUUGAAUACCCUCUGAUUAUAUUCAAAAAUCAUUAGUUGCUUUCAGUUUCAGUUUCAGUGACUUGACAGCUAUGUUUUAUAUCAUAAUGUGUUUGCAUUUAAAUACAGUUAUCUUACAUUUCUACUGGAUUGUACCUACUCUGGUAGAAAGGUUACUGGUUUUAUGCGUAAUGGACGUUAGAGACAGAGACAUCAUUAUUUAUGGAUAUACAAUGCUGGUUGAAAUUAUAAAUUAAAAAAGAGCGUUGAAAAAGUU